GACGAACGCUGGCGGCGUGCUUAACACAUGCAAGUCGAGCGGUAAGGCCCCUUCGGGGGUACACGAGCGGCGAACGGGUGAGUAACACGUGAGUAACCUGCCCCAUUCAUCGGAAUAACCAGUGGAAACGCUGGCUAAUGCCGAAUACGACCAUCGAAGGCAUCUUCUGGUGGUGGAAAGCUCCGGCGGAGUGGGAUGGACUCGCGGCCUAUCAGCUUGUUGGUGAGGUAAUGGCUCACCAAGGCGACGACGGGUAGCCGGCCUGAGAGGGUGACCGGCCACACUGGGACUGAGACACGGCCCAGACUCCUACGGGAGGCAGCAGUGGGGAAUAUUGGACAAUGGGCGAAAGCCUGAUCCAGCAACGCCGCGUGAGGGAUGACGGCCUUCGGGUUGUAAACCUCUUUCAGCAGGGACGAAGCGAAAGUGACGGUACCUGCAGAAGAAGGACCGGCCAACUACGUGCCAGCCGCCGCGGUAA
rnacentral:rRNA from 1 species